rnacentral:rRNA from 1 species
AUAGCCAUUGUUCAGAGAUACGGGAAGCCUAAUUACUUAAUCACUAUGACUUGCAACCCUUACUGGGAGGAGAUAACUUCCAGACUUGCACCCGGACAAACACCACAAGACCGUCCUGACCUGGUGGCCAGAGUAUGCAGGGCCAAGAUGCGGAGUCUGAAAGAUCUUAUGAUAAAAAAGAAGUACUUUGGUCCGGUUGCGGCGUAUGCUCAUGUUACCGAGUUCCAAAAAAGGGGUCUGCCGCAUGAGCACUUCCUGCUGAUCAUGGCCUCAGAUAGUAAGCUGACAAAUCCAGACGCCUAUGAUAGGGUAAUCUCGGCAGAGAUCCCUAGCCGUGACAAGUACCCAGUGUUGCAUGGACUGGUUAUCAAGCAUAUACUCCACGGCCCAUGUGGUACUCUCCAGAAGAAUUGUCCUUGCAUGAUAGAUGGAAAUUGUCGUUUUUGUUACCCUCGACAGUUUUCCCCUGCAACACAACAAGGAAAGGACUCAUACCCUAUAUAUAGGAGACGAGAUGAUGGCCGCCGAGUUAAAGUUAGGAAUGCAGUGUUGGACAACAGAUGGGUUGUCCCGUAG